rnacentral:rRNA from 1 species
GACGAACGCUGGCGGCGUGCCUAAUACAUGCAAGUAGAACGCUGAAGAGAGGAUCUUGCUCGUCUUGGAUGAGUUGCGAACGGGUGAGUAACGCGUAUGUAACCUGCCUUGUAUCGGGGUAUAACUAUUGGAAACGAUAGCUAAUACCGCAUAACAAUGGAUGACACAUUUCAUUUAUGUGAAAUUGGCAAUUGCUCCACUACAAGAUGGACCUUCGUUGUAUUAGCUAGUAGGUGAGGUAAUGGCGCACCUAGGCGACGAUACAUAGCCGACCUGAGAAGGUGAGUGGCCACACUGGGACUGAGACACGCCCCAGAGUCCUACGGGAGGCAGCAGUAGGGAAUCUUCGGCAAUGGGGGCAAACUUGAGCGAGCAACGCGGAGGGAGUGAAGAAGGACUUCGGAUCGUAAAGCACGGUUGUAAGUCAAGAAAGGGUGUGAGAGUGGAAAGAUCACACUGUGACGGUAGCUUAUAAGAAAGGGACGGCUAACUACGUG